ensembl:lncRNA novel transcript
AAGCAGAUGCUGUGGUCACGGGUUGAGCUCUUUCCUGCUGCCUUGAGCCUGAGGCAGGCUAUUCUUCCUGUGCGGCUCCACAGCUUCAGGCCAGCCCCCUCCCCGCUCAAAUCCCUGAGGCAGAGCUCCUCUGAAGAAGACUUCCGAUAUUAGGUUGCCUGGGCCCAGCUUGAAUCAGGCACCCCCAGCCGAGUCGCCCUCCAGGGGAUGGAAUACGGGACUCCCAGCCCCGGAAAACGGAGUCCGCCUGAGCCACGGGACUCGGAUGGAAGGCAAGUGAAGCCUGAUACCUCAGUGCAGAUACGUGGCUGGCUUUGUUGCAGGAUUUUCCUUAGUUUAGCUAAAGACGGGAUCUUGUCCAUCCCAUGGCCAUGAAAAUUUAGGCUCACAGACGCUUUAAAGGGUUCCACACAGGAAGAGGCGGUUCCCAGGUUCCACACAGGAAGAGGCGGUUCCCAGGUUCCACACAGGAAGAGGCGGUUCCCAGGUUCCACACAGGAAGAGGCGGUUCCCAGGUUCCACACAGGAAGAGACGCCCAGGUUCCACACAGGAAGAGGUGG